UACGUAGGGUGCAAGCGUUGUCCGGAAUUAUUGGGCGUAAAGAGCUCGUAGGCGGUUUGUUGCGUCGGCUGUGAAAUCCCGAGGCUCAACCUCGGGUCUGCAGUCGAUACGAGCAAACUAGAGUGUUGCAGGGGAGACUGGAAUUCCUGGUGUAGCGGUGAAAUGCGCAGAUAUCAGGAGGGAACACCCGGUGGGCGAAGGCGGGUCU
rnacentral:rRNA from 1 species